CCGGCUGAGGUUAUUGUUCAUCGGCUUGUGGCUUAUUUGAAGCUGAUCGAUUUUGGCCUCUGCACUCCAUAGUGCCUCUUAUUUAUCACCAUCAGUUAUUGACCACCAUUAUCUUCCAAUCACAGAUUACAUCGCUCUCCCCUCUCUUUCUUUAUAUCAAAUGCAAAUCCUCUGAAAUUGCGAAUCCCCACACCCAUCGACACAUGUGGAGAAGAAGACCAGGGAAGUAUCGUCUUUUUUGAACCUUGAAGACCCGAAAUUACAACGGCUUUUUGAAGGUGUGUUCAUGUUGACUUCAUCCUAAGUUUCUCUGAUGCCGAAACAUUUAGCAUCGUCUCAAUUGAAGCGAUUGUUGAUGUCUCUAUGAUCCUAAGAGGUAGAUCAUGGUAAGGACACGUUUGAUUCCUGAGAGGAGUGAUACCAGUGAUGAGGAGAUCCACCGGAUCAUCCACGAGGAGGUGGCUGCGGCCAUCAAGGCAGAGAUACCAGAGAUGUUCGGGUCUAUUAAGACCAUGCUGAUUGAGACCUUCGACGAGCGUUAUGCCGCUCUUUCUGAGGCUGCUGUUGCAGCGGCCACCGCAGCGAUUGCUGUCGCGAGGCCGCAAGUCCUGAUAUGAAGCUCGGAAGCAAAAGGAAGCAAGAGGAGCGGUUAGGAGCUCGAGAGUGGAAUGAAGAAGAAAAAAACAUUAAAAGAAAGCUUAUACUCGUCGAGUCAGAUAGCUACUCGACGAGUCCGGUCAAGGAAUCAGAAGGAUAAUGAUUCGGGAUCCCAGAUAGUUAUCGCAAUACGGGGAAUGUGAGAGGGACUCGACGAGUCACCACUUGACUCGAUGAGUCGGACCGCUUAUUUAAAGAUAAUUCCAAAGAUCGAAAGGGAGGAGUUCUGGGACGAUUCAGAGAGGUUUUGCUGCGAUUGAGAAGCCAGAGGACCCUUAGAGAUCGUCAAAGCGAGCUAGAGUUCAAUUCCGAAGGAGCAUUGAGGCAAAAUUUAUCAUACUUCUUAAAUCUUUGUGUUUAGUUACUAUGUUUGAACAUUUAGAUUCUGUUUGUUUGCUGAAUUUUAUUUCAAUGAUGAGCUAAACCCUUUAAACUUCUA